GGCACCUCUAAAAAUGGUGCAGAAAUAAGGGGUGGGCAAGUCUGGUGUCAGCCGCCGCGGUAAUACCAUGCACCCCGAGUGGUCGGGACGAUUAUUGGGCCUAAAGCAUCCGUAGCYGGUUYUGCAACGYCUUCYGUUAAAUCCAGCCGCUCAACGGAUGGGCCGCGUGAGGAUACUANCUAGGACUANGGAGGCGGGAGAGGCAAGCGGUACUCAGUGGGUAGGGGUAAAAUCCUUUGAUCCAUUGAAGACCACCAGUCGGCGANAGGCGNGCNNUUGCCAGAACGCGCUGGACGGUGAGGGAGAAAGCUGGGAGCAAC
rnacentral:rRNA from 1 species